AGCGCCUUGUCCUGCUCUUCCACCUCGAGUUUCUAUUUCGUUCAGUUAGAUAUGUUGUUAUUACACCGUUUGAGUCUGGGAUGGAGCAAGAAAAGUGGAGAACAUCGUUGUAAUCGGUUGCGUUCUGUGCCCCUCGGGCUGCUUUUGUCAUGUGUCAAUGGAAGAUGGUCCUCGUGUCGUGACCUCCGCUUCUUGGGUCCCCCCACCAUUUCGCUAUUUUUUCAUUCGCUUGCGCUCCUGCUUUUGGUAAGUUUAGAAAUGUGCUGUGCAGUCUGAUUUGUUGCUGCUUAGGUGCGAGCUUGGUCUUGGUCUCUUACGCCUGGCAUACAGCGCUGACUUCAUGGCAGCGUUCGAUGGCUCGUGGGGCUUGUGACAAAAUUCCGUGUCACGCGUUCCGAGCGUCACAACAGCGAGUUGCAUCAGCAGAGCUCUUUCCGUGACUGAUUUCACUUCUUGAGACUUCAGUAAAUUGGGGGGUGCACCAUUUUUACUUAUUUUGCUGACGACAAUUUUCACGUCAACAAGCCUGUCUUCGGGAGGUAUACAGUUGGUGGUCUCUAUUUUCAUGUGGACAUGACGCGGAGUUAACGAAUGAAGAAUCUAAAGCUAUGACCGCCACGCGGAUGUAUCAAACUCUCCAAAGCUCCGGGUGCUCCAGAAAACAUUGUGGUAUUCUCCAUACCUCCCGGUAAUGAGGAGUCUUUAAUAGUUUCAAGUCCUUAUUAUUAAUAAUGAUAAUGAGGAUUAAUAUACGCACUGUCGUACAAGAGAAUGACGGGUUCCGAAUGCUACAUCAACGCUUCGGAGCUUACUCUUCCUGGUAAAUACUUGCUGGGUUAAGACCACAUCAAUAGCGAUUUCGAGUGGAACACGUCGUAAGUAUUUUUCCAUCUGCAUGGAAUUUCAGAUUGAUACGGCUAUAGUGAUAAGUUUAUUUUAGCUCAACUCUGGCACAGCUAUUGGUGCAAUGGAACGACGACAGUUGAUGACAGAGGUCUAUUGAUUUUGGGUAGAUAAAGUGGGCCCCUGAGAUCCGAGAAUGCUGUCGUCACAAAUUUCUGAGGCAACAAGGAAAAUUAAAACAUGCCAUCCGUAAGCCUGGAACAAAAUGCAUGGACCUGUAGUGCUUGAAAACCUGCCACUUCGAAGCCUAAAAGCAAUGAAAACCUAGUAUAUUGUCUACAUAGAGACCCUGCCAGUCACCAACUCCGAAUUAGCAUAGGUUGUCUGCAAAGCGGAACUUACAGGUACAGUGCAGUGAAACAAACUUUUACGGAAACACAAAGAAUGAGAGAUUGGGGCAAUUGGUGGACGAGGGAGAAGAGGUAAUGUAGACGCUGACCCACAAAUAGCUUCUGUACUUAAGAAACGCGAUUGUGGCAAAAAUUACGUGGAAAAGUAUCCACAGAACGAGUUUCAGCUUACAACUGACUUCUCGUGAGGACAAAUGGCACAAUUACCAGUACAAAAGUUUCCUUUUGACCGACAUGAUAUCCAAUGAAGCCGCGCGAGUUGGUCGACUUUGCGAGUGUAACAUUCAUCCUGCAAAGAUCCAAAACCGAGGAGCUGGGAAUUCAUCAACUGGCUUUUGGAGUGAGAAGAUCCGGUUCAGUGUGUGUAGCACAGGCUAGUGCGGAGCGAGGUCGAUUCUUGCGGCGGAUUGUUGAUAUUCGGGUGUUUGUUUUUCUCCCUCAAAGGCUUCCAACAACAGGAGGGUACAAUUCCAUUGUGGUUAUAACCCAUAGUUGAGGUGUUUUUGCUCUCUCUGCUGUCGGAAGCCUUCGAGGGAGAUGAAAGAAUUUCCUGUUUUUCGAGUGUUCUGGCUGAGCGGCCUCUCUGCUCAGUUGAUCUGCUCCUGGCUGAGGUAUGGUUGGAUAUAAAUGCCUGAAUUGUUCAUCUGAACGAACAGCUACCAGCGGUGGCGAACGCACUCUUGUAUGAGAAACAAGUUUGUAGUUGCUAAUUUCUUCCAAGGGCUCAUGAACCGCAACUUUGACAAUUGUAGAUGACAUUUUUCAGUUCUAUUUUUUUUUCUGUCUAUUGCCACUGGUCAACGCCGAUCCGUAUCAAGGCAGAUUGCCUUGCUUCGAAACAGUGUGAGUGUAAGAGCAGAUUUCAACUCUCUGCGUGUAGUAUAGGUACCUAAUCAUUUGUGUUUUUUGAUUGAUUCUACAUUCUCAGUGAACCCUUCAUUUGCACCACUGCACCUUUGAAUACCCGCUUGUAAAGAGUAAUUUAUGUCUUGGGAGUCUUUCAUUCUACGUGUUGCAGAAUUUCGCCAACGACACUGAGUGGGACUGAGCGUGUUUUUAAGUCGUGUAUCCUGUUGCCUAUCUGACGUGCAGGAGCCCUGCAACAUAUCUUGUGUAAUUGUGAUCGCAGAUCGUCUUCUAUUUUGUGUAUCCCAUACUGGGGGACUGAGAAACUCUCACCAGAUAUCAUUGUGCAUACCUGAGGAGCUGAACGCGGGGAUUAAAUUCACGUUGCCUUCAGGUUGCAACUCGUUUCAAACCUCAACGCGACGAGUACGACCUGCACUGCACCCCAAAGCAGUAACUCUCUUGCUCCUAAACAGCUCAUUAGAUUGCUCACUGACCACAUUGAAAGCAUCUUGCAGACUAACCUUGUGUUCUAGAGAGUUGUGUCCCCAGUGUCAUCUUACUCUCCAACGUCUGUUCUUCACAAUUCUGCAGCAUAAAUACCUUCUGAGUUUUUAGAGAAAGCUAACAGUCUCACAUUGCAAAUCAAUUGUCUAAUCUUCACCAAUUAUGAUCUUCAAUGUGCAAAUUGUGACUGUCUUAGAUAGUGCUUCAUCACCAAGGAUUUUGAGUGAGUUCUGUGAAGGCGUAACUCCCGAGAAAUGCCUGUCUGAUCAGUAAGAAGAACCUUGAACUUUAGUUGUUCGUGAGUUUUGGAGACGGCGGAAGUGCUGACUCACUGGUGAUGUGAAAAAUAGACGUAUAUAACACCAAUUCUAACACACGUUGACUGACGUUGAAAAUGUGUCUGAUAUUUGUAUUGAUUUUCUGUAACGAAAAUAUCUAAAAUGCGAAUAAUGCAAUUACUUCCAGUGUCUCGCUGUAAGAUAUGAAAAGAGAGUGCGAUGAAAAACUCUCGAAUUCUUAUUCGAUUGUACUAUGAACACAUUUUCAAAUCAAUACUUUUUCAGUUGUACGCCAAA